ACCAAAGAGUUAGAUAUGUGUGCAAUUUAAUGGGUGAUAAACCCAUAAGGCGCAAGCAAGCUGAUUGGCGGGAUUCCCUUGAAGGUUGCACCGCCGACCAACCUUGAUUUUCUAAGAAGGCUCCAAGUGUGAGCAUGUUUGUCGGGACCUGAAGGGUGGUGAACUAUGCCUGAGCACGACAAAGCUAGAGGAAACUUUGGUAGAGGCCCGCAGUGAUACUGACGUACAAAUCGUUCGUCUAACUUGGGUAUAGGGGUGAAAAAGUAAUUGAACCGUCUAGCAGCUGGUUCCCUUCGAAGUUUCCCUCAGGAUGGCUGGAGCUCAUGAACAAGCUUUAUUAGGUAAAGCCAAUGAUUAGAGUCAAAUGGGGUGACACACCCUUAACCAAUUCUCAAACUUUAAACAGGUAGGAAGGUGCGACUGCUUCGUUGAGUCGUGCCACGGAAUCUAGAGCUCCAAGUGGGCCAUUUUGGUAAGCAGAACUGCGAAGGAAAGGCAAGGAAGUUAGUAACCUAGGAGUAGUUCAGGUUCGAGAAUUUGGGUAUUUUUCUUAAUCCAACUCUACUCCAUCGACUGAGACUGAUACCAGACUUCAUUGCGUAGAGAUGGAGCUGGUGCGCCAAAGGGAAUUCGUGCGCAUUUACUUAACUGUCAUAGCCAAGUCCUUG
rnacentral:rRNA from 1 species